AGGGGAUAGCCCAGGGAAACUUGGAUUAAUACCCCAUGGUAUCGCAAGAUUAAAAGGUGGCCGCAAGGCUGUCGCUGAAGGAUUGGUUCGCGCCCUAUCAGCUUGUUGGCGGGUAACGGCCCACCAAGGCUACGACGGGUACCUGGUUUGAGAGGCGAUCAGGCACACUGGAACUGAGACACGGUCCAG
rnacentral:rRNA from 1 species